rnacentral:rRNA from 1 species
UCGUGAGACAGUUCGGUCCCUAUCUGUCGCGGGCGUAGGAAAUUUGAGAGGAGCUGUCCUUAGUACGAGAGGACCGGGAUGGACGCACCGCUGGUGUACCAGUUGUUCCGCCAGGAGCAUAGCUGGGUAGCUAUGUGCGGAAGGGAUAAGCGCUGAAAGCAUCUAAGCGUGAAGCCCCCCUCAAGAUGAGAUUUCCCAAUUAGUAAGACCCCUUGAAGACGACGAGGUAGAUAGGUUGGAGGUGGAAGCACAGUAAUGUGUGGAGCUGACCAAUACUAAUCGGUCGAGGGCUUAUCCUA